GGGAGGCAGCAGUAGGGAAUAUUGGACAAUGGGCGAAAGCCUGAUCCAGCCAUGCCGCGUGUGUGAAGAAGGUCUUCGGAUUGUAAAGCACUUUAAGUUGGGAGGAAGGGCAGUAAAUUAAUACUUUGCUGUUUUGACGUUACCGACAGAAUAAGCACCGGCUAACUCUGUGCCAGCAGCCGCGGUAAUACAGAGGGUGCAAGCGUUAAUCGGAAUUACUGGGCGUAAAGCGCGCGUAGGUGGUUUGUUAAGUUGAAUGUGAAAUCCCCGGGCUCAACCUGGGAACUGCAUCCAAAACUGGCAAGCUAGAGUAUGGUAGAGGGUGGUGGAAUUUCCUGUGUAGCGGUGAAAUGCGUAGAUAUAGGAAGGAACACCAGUGGCGAAGGCGACCACCUGGACUGAUACUGACACUGAGGUGCGAAAGCGUGGGGAGCGAACAGGAUUA
rnacentral:rRNA from 1 species